AGAGUUUGAUCAUGGCUCAGGAUGAACGCUGGCGGCGUGGAUAAGGCAUGCAAGUCGAGUGGGUUUAGGCCCACGGCAGACGGGUUAGUAACACGUAGGCAUUUACCCCGAAGACGAGGAUAAUCCCGGGAAACCGGGAAUAAUACUCGAUAGACCUGAUCAAAAAGGUAAAGAUUUAUCGCUUCGGGAGAAGCCUGCGUCCUAUCAGCUUGUUGGUGAGGUAACGGCUCACCAAGGCUAUGACGGGUAGGGGGCGUGAGAGCGCGACCCCCAACACUGGAACUGAGACGCGGUCCAGACUCCUACGGGAGGCAGCAGCCGAGAAUAUUCGACAAUGGGGGAAACCCUGAUCGAGCGACGCCGCGUGUGGGAUGACGCCCUGCGGGGUGUAAACCACUUUUCUGCUUGAGGAAUUUUUGACGUUAGAGCAGGAAUAAGGGGCUGCUAACUUCGUGCCAGCAGCAGCGGUAAUACGAAGGCCCCAAGCGUUAUCCGGAAUUAUUGGGCGUAAAGGGUCCGUAGGCGGUAUGCAUAGUCGCAGGUUAAAGCUCCCGGCUCAACUGGGAACAUGCUUGCGAAACGUGCGUGCUAGAGGAUGUGAGAGGCAUGUGGAAUUCUGCGUGUAGCGGUGAAAUGCGUUGAUAUGCAGGGGAACACCAAAGGCGAAGGCAACAUGCUGGCGCAUUCCUGACGCUGAGGGACGAAAGCGUAGUAGCGAAUGGGAUUAGAUACCCCAGUAGUCCACGCUGUAAACGUUGAACACUAGCCAUGUGGAGUAUCGACCCUCCAUGUGGCGAAGCUAACGCGUUAAGUGUUCCGCCUGGGAAGUACGGCCGCAAGGCUAAAACUCAAAGGAAUAGACGGGGACUUGCACAAGCGGUGGAGCGUCUGGUUUAAUUCGACGAUGAGCGAGGAACCUCACCUGGGCUUGACAUCUAACUGACCGCUCUAAGAAACUAGAGCCUUCUAUUAAGACAGUUAGACAGGUGCUGCAUGGUUGUCGUCAGCUCGUGUCUUGAGAUGUUCCGUUAAGUCGGGUAACGAGCGCAACCCCUACCACAUGUUACACGUAUCAUGAGAGACUGCCCGGGCAACCGGGAGGAAGGUGGGGAUGACGUCAAAUCAGCAUGGCCCUUUGAUGCCCAGGGCGACACAGGCGCUACAAUGGUCAGUACAAUGGGUUGCAAAGCCGCGAGGCGGAGCUAAUCCCAUCAAAGCUGGCCCCAGUUCGGAUUGGAGUCUGCAACUCGACUCCAUGAAGUUGGAAUCGCUAGUAAUCGCGUAUCAGCCAUGGCGCGGUGAAUACGUUCCCAAGUCUUGUACUCACCGCCCGUCACGUCAAGGAAGCUGGUAAUACCCGAAGAUUCACUUUUGGUGGAGUUAAGGUAGGACCAGUGACAGGGACGAAGUCGUAACAAGGUAACC
rnacentral:rRNA from 1 species